CACGUAGUUAGCCGGAGCUUAUUCUACAGGUACUGUCUUGUUUCUUCCCUGUCUAAAGCAGUUUACAAUCCGAAAACCUUCUUCCUGCACGCGGCGUCACCGCGUCAGAGUUUCCUCCAUUGCGCAAUAUUCCCGACUGCUGCCUCCCGUAGGAGUCUGGGCCGUAUCUCAGUCCCAAUGUGGCCGUUCAACCUCUCAGUCCGGCUACUGAUCGUCGACUUGGUAGGCCGUUACCCCACCAACUAUCUAAUCAGACGCAAGCCCAUCUAUCAGCGAAUUGCUUCUUUCCCUUUGUAACAUGUGUUACUAAGGCAUAUGCGGUAUUAGCAGUCAUUUCUAACUGUUGUUCCCCUCUGAUAGGCAGGUUGCUUACGUGUUACUCACCAGUCCGCCACUAACCGCUCCAAUAGUAAACUAAUGGUUAAGUCCGUUCGACUUGCAUGUCUUAUGUGCGCCGCCAGCGUUUAUCCUGAGCCAGGAUCGAAACUUCU
rnacentral:rRNA from 1 species